rnacentral:rRNA from 1 species
GAUGAACGCUGGCGGCGUGCUUAACACAUGCGAGUCGAACGGAAAGGCUCCUGCUUGCAGGGGUACUCGAGUGGCGAACGGGUGAGUAACACGUGGGUGAUCUGCCCUGCACUUCGGGAUAAGCCUGGGAAACUGGGUCUAAUACCGGAUAGGACCACAUUUUGGAUGGUGUGGUGGAAAGUUUUUCGGUGUGGGAUGAGCUCGCGGCCUAUCAGCUUGUUGGUGGGGUAAUGGCCUACCAAGGCGUCGACGGGUAGCCGGCCUGAGAGGGUGUACGGCCACAUUGGGACUGAGAUACGGCCCAGACUCCUACGGGAGGCAGCAGUGGGGAAUAUUGCACAAUGGGCGCAAGCCUGAUGCAGCGACGCCGCGUGGGGGAUGACGGCCUUCGGGUUGUAAACUCCUUUCGCUAGGGACGAAGCGCAAGUGACGGUACCUGGAGAAGAAGCACCGGCUAACUACGUG